UUACUUCAUAACAUUAAGGUUGAACCACUGCAGUCACGUCUAGUGUUUUACCAAUGUCUUUAGUACCUUUCUGGACCUUGAAAGUGGUGGUUAUAUUGCUGUCUAUGGACGAGUCAUAUACCUUUCGGAUUUUAUCAAAAAUAUCUUAAUUUGUUUUCUGAAGAUAAACGAAGGUCUUACAGGUGUGGAACAACAUUAGGGUGAGUAAUUAAUGACAUAAUUUUCAUUUUUGGGUGAACUAAUUCUUUAAGCAUUUCUUAACCUGUCCAUGAUUAAUAGUGAAGACUGCUUCAUGUGAGUUCUGUCUUUGUUGCAGUUCUGAGACUUCAGGCCAGAAAAAGUGUGGUGUUAAUAAGAGUGUGAAGUUCAGGGUGUGAGAAGAUAUAAGUAGACUGAGCUAAUUCACUUCCUGACCUGCACAAAUAGCAUAUAUAUUUUGUUAACAUACUGCUUUUACAGAUUUUGAUCAUUUGCUACAUCCUGUAAUGCCUUAUAAUGACUAUAGAUGAAAUGGUGUGGUGUACUGAUGGCAUACUGACAUAUUGCAAUUGUUGUGAGGGGAAAAAAGCAUACAGAAAAACAAGUUGAAUAUAUUUGUUGUGCUGGUCUAUAUUUUCAGUUUCAGACAUGUUUGCUGCAUGAGUUUCACUUAUGCCUGGAGGGAGGAGUCUCUUUUCACGCACAUAUAAGCCUUCUGGAUGAAAGUGAAAAUGAAAAUAGGAUAAUCAAAGACAAGAGCAACACCAACAGUAGAUGCCAAAACCCGCUGAUGUGAUGAUAACCAUGGCAAUAUACCAGCAGCAGUAUGAAGUCUCCAAGUUCCUGAGGAUCAAGCCAAUGGCUUUGGGGAUAUUGGAAAUCUCGAUAGCCUUAAUAGGACUUGGUUUGACAAUCUGGAGUAAUAAACAUUUUCUUCUCUGGUCACCAGUUAUUUUCAUUAUAAUUGGAGCUAUAACAGUAUUGGCUGCACACACACGUAAACCGCGUCUGGUAAAAUUCUCACAAAUACUCAGCUAUGUCAGUUUUGCAGUAGUUGCUAUCUCCCUCCGCUCUCACCUUUUUUUCACUCGGGGUGUGCCCUGCUUUGUCCUAAUAUCAUGUGAUAUUCUGAUCUUCAUCUUCUCUGUUGCUAUUGCCUCAACCUCCUGUUCCUGUUGUUGCGAACCAAAGUUAAGACCUGUCACGGUCAGUUAUAUGAACACAGAUUUGCCUGUCAACCAUAUUGUGCUAAUGGGCCAGCCGGACUCUUCUGCAAUGGCACAGCCCGUUAGUUCAGUCCUGUACGUGCUGCCAGCAGCAGAUGGCCAAGUCCCAUCUGCACUUCUGCCAAAUUGCGGUCCCUUUCUCAAUGCAUCUCCACCAAACUACAGUCCAGUACCAGCUACACCUCCACCAACCUACGACCAAAUCUCAGCUGCACUGCUACCAAACGACGGCCCAGUCCCAAGUGCACCUCCACCAGCAUAUGAGGCCAGAUGAUGAUCUAGAUCUCAGACACAAAUGGAGAUAUUUGAUGAUUACACUAUUUAUGGCAUUGAAUUAUGGUGAAUGGAAAACCAAAAAUGAUGUUUAUAAAUUUGUAGAUCAUUUAUAAAUAAUUGUAAUAUUACAAUUCUAUAAAUAAUAUGAAAACCAAAACUGUGAAUGCAUGUUUUAAAUGCAUCGUGUCAUACAAAAAUUAUCAGUAAUAAAUCUGUACACAUUUUAACACUGUAAUAAAAACAUACUUUUCAUAA